AUUGAACGCUGGCGGCAUGCUUUACACGUGCAAGUCGAACGGUAACAGGCCGCAAGGUGCUGACGAGUGGCGAACGGGUGAGUAAUGCAUCGGAACGUGCCCAGUCGUGGGGGAUAACGCAGCGAAAGCUGUGCUAAUACCGCAUACGAUCUAUGGAUGAAAGCGGGGGACCGUAAGGCCUCGCGCGAUUGGAGCGGCCGAUGUCAGAUUAGGUAGUUGGUGGGGUAAAGGCCUACCAAGCCGACGAUCUGUAGCGGGUCUGAGAGGACGAACAGCCACACUGGGACUGAGACACGGCCCAGACUCCUACGGGGGGCAGCAGUGGGGAAUUUUGGACAAUGGGCGCAAGCCUGAUCCAGCAAUGCCGCGUGCAGGAAGAAGGCCUUCGGGUUGUAAACUGCUUUUGUACGGAACGAAACGGCGAGCUCUAACAUAGCUUGCUAAUGACGGUACCUGAAGAAGAAGCACCGGCUAACUACGUGCCAGCCGCCGCCGUAAGAC
rnacentral:rRNA from 1 species